GAUGAACGCUGACAGAAUGCUUAACACAUGCAAGUCGAUGGGGAAGUGGUGCUUGCACCAUGGUAACCAUGGCGGACGGGUGAGUAACGCGUAAGGAACUUGCCUGCGGGACUGGGAUAACAGCAGGAAACUGCUGAUAAUACCGGAUAAGGUCAUUAAGCUGCAUAGCUUAGUGAUGAAAGGAGACGCCUGCGGAGAGCCUUGCGUCCUAUUAGCUAGUUGGAGGGGUAACGGCCCACCAAGGCGAAGAUAGGUAGCCGGCCUGAGAGGGUGGACGGCCACCAGGGGGCUGAGAUACCGCCCUUACUCCCACCGGAGGCCGCAGUGGGGAAUAUUGGACAAUGGGGGCAACCCUGAUCCAGCAAUUCUGUGUGCACGAAGACGGUUUUCGGAUUGUAAAGUGCUUUCAGCAGGGGAGAAGGAAGUGACGGUACCUGCAGAAGAAGCGACGGCUAAAUACGUG
rnacentral:rRNA from 1 species